rnacentral:lncRNA from 13 species
GGCUUAUAGUGAUAAUUUUUUUGUUCUGGAAAUUUUCAAGAGUGGUCUUCAAAUGCAAAUUGUAAUGAAAAUAACACAGGAUGAUGUGUUUAUUCUGAUGGUUUCAAGGUGCAUCCUAUUCUGAUGUUCUCAGAAUCAUACAUGUCACAGGCUUCAAAAAAGCCCAAACCAAAGCUACACAGAAAAGGCAUACUGGACCACAGAGUAAUAAACUGAUAUUUUCACCUAUUUAUUAUACCAAAGCAUCCACCAAGCAUUCAUAUUCUUGAUUAAUUCUGUUGAGAAUUCACACGUUGAUGUCUUUCAAUACAUUUAAAACUGUUCUUUUUGUCUUCAUCAACUCCAACAUUUACGUGAGCUACAGAAGUUUACCUUAAAGAUUAUUUGCAUUUGUCUUUUUAGGCAACUUUGGUCUCUGUUACUUCAAUAAGGAUGGAAAAACAUUAAUGUCAGAUAGAACAUUUCAAGCAAACUGUGAAGAAGAAAAGGAAAGAACAUCGAUAGAACUGCACAAAGACAGAAGUUAUCCACAGUAAGACUAUUCCUGCUUGGAACAACUGUUAGCCGCUUGUUUAGAAUUGUCCGGGGACUAGGAAGACAAGCCCGCCCUCGGAGUAGCCGUGGCCCGGCCGGAGGAGGUGGAGCCCAAGGCCGCGGAGGCGCAUCCCCAGCGUUCCCGGCUCCGCAUCCCCAGCGUUCCCGGCUCCGCAUCCCCGGCGCUCCCGGCUCCGCAUCCCCGGCGCUCCCGGCUCCGCAUCCCCGGCGCUCCCGGCUCCGCGCGGCUGAGCGCGGCUCGGGCGGUCCCGCAGCCCCGGCGCGCCCCCUGCGGGCCGCUCCCGCACCUGCAGCCGCCGUCGGAGCGGCCCCGUUCCCAAAGAACCAAAAUUGCUCCAUCCAUUAUCAAAUUGAUUAUUGAACCUUAUAACAGGCAAUAAUGAAACAAAAACACUUUCUGCCCGGAUACAGAAACAUUCAUAAAGAAAGCGAUCAUUCUGUGUCCAAUCCUGCGGUUUUGUAUUAAUAUAUUGAUCUUAAACCUCUGUAGAUUUCACUGUUCUUUUUUUUUCAGUCAAUUUAUUUUGUACUGAAUCAGUUUUACAUCUACAGUAAAAUAUUGCUAAAAUUCUCAAUAAAUUUUCAUGAAGUGAGGAUUUUCUUCAUAUGUUUUAUUAGGUAAUUUUAAGGAAAUAUGUCCUGCACCAUCUGUGUCUUUUUAAGUGCUCUCUGGUCAUUUCACUGGAGUCAUAGGUGUCCUCUUAUGCCUUUUGUCAAGAAUGAUCUGGAGAACUGUGCAUUUGUUAAUUUUUACCCUGUUUCUGAGCCUUCCUGCCCCCCAUCCUCACUUUUAGCAUAUUAUUUUAAUCUUUGAAGGACAGAUAACUGUGAAAUAACAGCAGAGUGUUCAGGUAUUUUCCUAACACAGGACAAGGCAACUAAUUCUCCAUUAGCACACAGAGUAUUCCAGCUGUAUGCAAAUACACAUCUAACAAAACCAGUCAGUCAAUGUCACAUUUGAACAAUUCUUAGGUUCUGUUUUCUAAAUCCUUUUGUAAUCGCAAAAGAAAGCUGUAAGUCAUUCCCAUUUCCAACUUUUUUUUUUUAAUUAAAUUAAUUACUACACUUGCUUUCUACACCUAUAGAACACACUAAAGAAACACAAAUAACUGUGAAAGAUGAAGCUGUUGGCUCCUCUGAAGCAG